UACAGAGACUGCAAGCGUUAUUCGGAUUCACUGGGCGUAAAGGGUGCGCAGGCGGCCAAGUGUGUCAGGUGUGAAAUCCCGAGGCUUAACCUCGGAACUGCGCCUGAAACUACUUGGCUAGAGUACUGGAGAGGGUAACGGAAUUCACGGUGUAGCAGUGAAAUGCGUAGAUAUCGUGAGGAGCACCAGAGGCGAAGGCGGUUACCUGGACAGUUACUGACGCUCAGGCACGAAAGCGUGGGGAGCAAAAGGG
rnacentral:rRNA from 1 species